rnacentral:rRNA from 1 species
GACGUAGGGCGCGAGCGUUGUCCGGAUUUAUUGGGCGUAAAGAGCUCGUAGGCGGCUUGUCGCGUCGGCUGUGAAAACCCGCGGCUCAACUGUGGGCGGGCAGCUGAUACGGGCAGGCUGGAGUUCGGUAGGGGAGACUGGAAUUCCUGGUGUGAGCGGUGAAAUGCGCAGAUAUCAGGAGGAACACCGGUGGCGAAGGCGGGUCUCUGGGCCGAUACUGACGCUGAGGAGCGAAAGCGUGGGGAGCGAACAGG